UACGAAGGGGGCUAGCGUUGUUCGGAAUUACUGGGCGUAAAGCGCGCGCAGGCGGUCUUCCAAGUCAGUGGUGAAAGCCCGGAGCUCAACUCCGGAACUGCCAUUGAAACUGUUGGACUUGAGUAUGAGAGAGGUGAGUGGAAUUCCCAGUGUAGAGGUGGAAUUCGUAGAUAUUAGGAAGAACACCAGUGGCGAAGGCGGCUUACUGGUCCGGAACUGACGCUGAGGUGCGAAAGCGUGGGGAGCAAACAGG
rnacentral:rRNA from 1 species